AAAGUCGUAACAAGGUUUCCGUAGGUGAACCUGCGGAAGGAUCAUUAAUGAUUUGGCGAACCGAGCGUUAGCGAGGUUUUGCGAUCAACUUGUAUUUAAAACCCAACUCUUUAUAAUAUUUAUACAUAAUUUUAAUGAUUAAAAUUGAAGAUCACUUUCAACAACGGAUCUCUUGGCUCUC
rnacentral:misc_RNA from 1 species